ACACAGGAUUGAUUUCCAAAGACUCAUGCUAUGUAAGGAAGCCACCAAGAAGGGCAAAGAAAAGGAGCCAGGGACGGCUCUUCCUCAGGGACACUAGACUUUCAGGGAUGUGGCUAUAGAUUUCUCUUUGGAGGAGUGGAAAUGCCUGAACCCUGCACAGAGGGCUUUAUACAGGGAAGUGAUGUUGGAGAACUACAGGAACCUGGAGUUUGUGGGCUUGAGUGCAAGCCACGAUCUCGCCUCACCACAACCU
rnacentral:lncRNA from 1 species